GUGUCUAUAGAAAAUGCUUUUGUAUAUGUCAAAUACACAUAUAUUUGUGUAAAUGUCAAAUUCUCCAUAAUAGGCAUUUUUUGACGUUUGGAUUUCUCACUGCCUUGCCCACUUCCUGACAUGGUAUCACCCACUCACCUUAUUGGGAAGCGUUGCAUCAAUCUCCUUCUGCAGUUUCUGCUGCACAUUGGGAGGAACUCAACAGUGGGAAUUUCGGCUGUCAGGCGGCUGGAGGCCUUGGGGCAGAGCUCAGAAUCGCAGCAGCUGGACUCCUACUUACUCUUUCAAGGUGACGGGCUUGCCUUUAUCUGCUUCCUUCCUCAGGUUCCUCACCAACACAUCUCCAUACUUGCUAACGAUGGGGAACAUCUAGACACAAAAUACAGCACCACCCACAAUUAAAUGUGAAGACUCGUGUCCUAGAAAACCUAGCUUUCUCAAACAUGGAGCAGUAAGCAAUAUUUUGUAAUGAAGCUUAUAAUGCCACUUCUAGGACAUAAAAAUGAAAGACCAUUUUUAGGAAGCUCAAAUUCAGCAGGCUACCCUUGGAAAGAAACUACCUUAUUUUCUACCUGUUCCAGAUGCAUUCUUUA